GUUGCAUGAUCACGUGACUUAGUGUGUUUCACAAUUAAACGUGAAUGGAUGUAAACACGCCGCCCGUGUUUAAACAUCUGAAAACCCCGUUGAUCCUGCACCCUUGUUUAACGUGAACGAUCCUGCUAAAGUAACGAACAUACUCCUAUCAAUAGAAAAAAACACGACAGACAAGAUUAACACGAUCAAAGUGGCAAAAACAGAGGGGAAUACAUGUACAUUUUUUCAGCAGCUAUAGAACUAUGUGUUUUAACUUAAAACAAUCUACCCUAAUGUUUAUGACCAUUAUUUUGCCUAAUUUUGGCAAAAAUUAAUUAUGCAUUUCUAUGUCAUUUAAACCCAAUACACACAAGUAUGAACGAU